GGAGCGAUUUGUCUGGUCAAUUCCGAUAACGAACGAGACAUUCCGAUAACGAACGAGACUCUAGCCUACUAAAUAGUUCGGGGACCCCCACAAAGGGGCCCUGCUUCAACUUCUUAGAGGGACAGGUGGCGUUUAGCCACACGAGAUUGAGCAAUAACA
rnacentral:rRNA from 1 species